rnacentral:misc_RNA from 1 species
GGAAGGAUCAUUAACAAAUUCAACCAAACAACACACCUGUGAACCGGUCGGUGCAAGCCGACAGCUAUACGCUUGUAAUUGUAGUCGUACCAAAGAUGUAAUUAAUACAACUUUUAACAAUGGAUCUCUUGGCUCUCGCAACGAUGAAGAACGCAGUGAAUUGCGAUAACUAGUGUGAAUUGCAUUACUUUGUGAAUCAUCGAGUCUUUGAACGCAUAUUGCACUGUUUGGCCCUCCAAACAGUAUGCCUGUUUGAGUAUCAUAAACACCCUACAAGCAAUUACGCUUGUGACGUGGGCACCAAGGGCGCAAGCUCUUCCGCCUUAAAUGUAGCUUCAGAUGAUGGUGCGCCUUCGAUGAGUGAGCCUAUCGCGACAAGCGCAACAUGCCUUGGAAACGAAUGGACACGCAGCCGAUGACGCCUGUCGACAAGUCUGAGGACGUUAUGCGCUGCCCUGUGCAGCACACUACUCAUACAACUGUGAUCUCAAAUCAGGCAAGACUACCCGCUGAACUUAAGCAUAUCAGUAAGCGGAGGAAAAGAAACUAACUAGGAUUCCCUCAGUAACGGCGAGUGAAGCGGGAACAGCUCAAAUUUGUAAUCGGGACGGCUUCGCUGUCUCGAGUUGUACUUAAUAGAACCGUAGUCUGUGGGGUGCCUUGGCAUAAGUUUGUUGGAACACAACAUCAGAGAGGGUGAGAAUCCCGUCUUUGGCCUUGGCUGCCCUGCUUAUGAUGCGGCUUCGACGAGUCGGGUUGUUUGGGAAUGCAGCCCAAAAUGGGUGGUAUACUCCAUCUAAAGCUAAAUAAUGGCGAGAGACCGAUAGCGAACAAGUACCGUGAGGGAAAGAUGAAAAGAACUUUGAAAAGAGAGUUAAAAGUGCGUGAAAUUGUUAAAAGGGAAGCGAUUGAAACCAGUAUUGUUGGUGCUGAUGGCACGAGGCGAACGGAAGGCUGUGGUGGAUGGAGUGUGAAAGCGCCCAUUGCUGCUUCUGGAAGGGAGGCUUGUGUCCGCUCUGUACCGACAAGUCAGCAUCAGUUUUGCUUGCUGGACAGCCUGUGAGGAAGGUAGCGUCGCUUCAUCGCGACGAACUUAUAGACUUGCAAAGGCAGCAGUGAGUGGGACUGAGGAACGCAGCGCGUUCGGGGCACCCUCUGAGAUGCGCCGCCUAAUGCCGAAUGCCCAGCACGCUGAGCACCGGUUAGGUGGCGUUAUGAGCGGGGAGGUGCUACUUUAGCGCUUAGGAUGCUGACGAAAUGGUUUUAACCGACCCGUCUUGAAACACGGACCAAGGAGUCUAACAUGAGUGCGAGUAAAUGAGUGGCAAACUCACUUGCGUAAUGAAAGUGAACAAAGGGAUUUGUGUGCGCAAGCAUGCAAUGCACCUUUGACCGAUCAGGAUAUUUUUUGAAAGAUUUGAGUAAGAGCAUUUAUGUUGGGACCCGAAAGAUGGUGAACUAUGCCUGAGUAGGAUGAAGCCAGAGGAAACUCUGGUGGAGGUCCGUAGCGGUUCUGACGUGCAAAUCGAUCGUCAAACUUGGGUAUAGGGGCGAAAGACUAAUCGAACCAUCUAGUAGCUGGUUCCCUC